rnacentral:misc_RNA from 1 species
GAUGAAGAACGCAGCGAAAUGCGAUAAGUAAUGUGAAUUGCAGAAUUCAGUGAAUCAUCGAAUCUUUGAACGCACAUUGCGCCUGCCAGUAGUCUGGCGGGCAUGCCUGUUCGAGCGUCAUUACAACCCUCAGGCCCCCGGGCCUGGCGUUGGGGAUCGGCGGAAGCCCCCUGUGGGCACACGCCGUCCCUCAAAUACAGUGGCGGUCCCGCCGCAGCUUCCAUUGCGUAGUAGCUAACACCUCGCAACUGGAGAGCGGCGCGGCCAUGCCGUAAAACACCCAACUUCUGAAUGUUGACCUCGAAUCAGGUAGGAAUACCCGCUGAACUUAAGCAUAUCAAUAAGCGGAGGA